CUUUGCUGCGAAGGCUAGAUGGCUGAAAGAGCUGGAGCUUUUGUUUUCGUUCUGCUUUUUGUAGUGCUACUACAAAGAGAGACUGUUCACUCUAUACAAAUCGGUGACCGUCCACCACGUCUGUGUUGGACUGCAUUUAUUAAUUUGAGGUUUCCGUCUGCAUGGAGAAGAGAUGAAGUGGAAUCACCUGACAUUCAUAGAAACAGUCAUUAUCCGGUGUG